rnacentral:tmRNA from 1 species
AGCUGCGCUUCUCUAUAUAGGGCGUGCCGGUUUCGGCCGGAUAUGGCGAUAAAUUGCCGUGCGUAAUAGAUGCAGCGGACCCGGGGGCAGUACCCGGCGGCUCCACCACAAAACGCUGAGAGACCAGCGGAUUAUGACGGGGCCGAACCAGGAUCGACGUGUAUUCAAAGGCAUGGUUUUUGCUCGGGCUGAGUACCCCGUAAAACUGUUCAAAACACACAAGUGCCAACGAUAACGAAGCACUCGCAGUUGCAGCGUAAUUCUACGUCCUAACGGACUGAAUUUACAAAGCUAAAGCGCGGUUGGACCCACCGGGCAACAGAAG